UCUGGAAACUGUNUGACUUGAGUGCAGAAGGGGAGAGUGGAAUUCCAUGNGUAGCGGUGAAAUGCGUAGAUAUAUGGAGGAACACCAGUGGCGAAAGCGGCUCUCUGGUCUGUCACUGACGCUGAGGCUNGAAAGCGUGGGUAGCGAACAGGAUUAGAUACCCUGGUAGUCCACGCCGUAAACGAUGAGUGCUAGGUGUUAGGCCCUUUCCGGGGCUUAGUGCCGGAGCUAACGCAAUAAGCACUCCGCCUGGGGAGUACGACCGCAAGGUUGAAACUCAAAGGAAUUGACGGGGGCCCGCACAAGCGGUGGAGCAUGUGGUUUAAUUCGAAGCAACGCGAAGAACCUUACCAGGUCUUGACAUCCCGAUGCUAUUCUUAGAGAUAGGAAGUUACUUCGGUACAUCGGAGACAGGUGGUGCAUGGUUGUCGUCAGCUCGUGUCGUGAGAUGUUGGGUUAAGUCCCGCAACGAGCGCAACCCUUAUUGUUAGUUGCCAUCAUUAAGUUGGGCACUCUAGCGAGACUGCCGGUAAUAAACCGGAGGAAGGUGGGGAUGACGUCAAAUCAUCAUGCCCCUUAUGACCUGGGCUACACACGUGCUACAAUGGUCGGUACAACGAGUUGCGAGCCGGUGACGGCAAGCUAAUCUCUGAAAGCCGAUCUCAGUUCGGAUUGGAGGCUGCAACUCGCCUCCAUGAAGUCGGAAUCGCUAGUAAUCGCGGAUCAGCACGCCGCGGUGAAUACGUUCCCGGGCCUUGUNCACA
rnacentral:rRNA from 1 species